UACGAAGGGGGCUAGCGUUGUUCGGAAUUACUGGGCGUAAAGCGUAUGUAGGCGGAUCGUUAAGUCCGCUGUGAAAUCCCCGAGCUCAACUUGGGAAUUGCAGUGGAUACUGGCAAGCUGGAGUAUGGUAGAGGAAGGUGGAAUUCCCGGUGUAGCAGUGAAAUGCGUAGAGAUCGGGAGGAACACCAGUGGCGAAGGCGGCCUUCUGGACCAAUACUGACGCUGAGGUGCGAAAGCGUGGGGAGCAAACAGG
rnacentral:rRNA from 1 species